rnacentral:rRNA from 1 species
UUAGAGUUUGAUCCUGGGCUCAGAUUGAACGGCUGGGCGGCAUGCCUUACACAUGCAAGUCGAACGGCAGCACGGGUGCUUGCACCUGGUGGCGAGUGGCGAACGGGUGAGUAAUACAUCGGAACAUGUCCUGUAGUGGGGGAUAGCCCGGCGAAAGCCGGAUUAAUACCGCAUACGAUCCACGGAUGAAAGCGGGGGACCUUCGGGCCUCGCGCUAUAGGGUUGGCCGAUGGCUGAUUAGCUAGUUGGUGGGGUAAAGGCCUACCAAGGCGACGAUCAGUAGCUGGUCUGAGAGGACGACCAGCCACACUAGGACUGAGACACGGCCCAGACUCCUACGGGAGGCAGCAGUGGGGAAUUUUGGACAAUGGGCGAAAGCCUGAUCCAGCAAUGCCGCGUGUGUGAAGAAGGCCUUCGGGUUGUAAAGCACUUUUGUCCGGAAAGAAAUCCUUGGCUCUAAUACAGUCGGGGGAUGACGGUACCGGAAGAUUAAAGCACCCGGGCUAAACUACCGUGGCCAAGCAAGCCGCGGUUAUAUACGUAGGGGUGGCAAAGCGUUAAUCGGGAAUUACUGGGGCGUAAAAGCGUGGCGCAGGGCGGUUUGCUAAGACCGGAUGUGAAAUCCCCCGGGCUCAAACCUGGGAACUGCAUUGGUUGACUGGCAGGGCUAGAGUAUGGCAGAGGGGGGGUAGAAUUCCACGUGUAGCAGUGAAAUGCGUAGAGAUGUGGAGGAAUACCGAUGGCGAAAGGCAGCCCCUUGGGCCAAUACUGACGGCUCAUGCACGAAAAGCGUGGGGAGCAAAACAGGAUUUAGAUACCCUGGUAGUUCCACGCCCUAAAACGAUGUCAACUAGUUGUUGGGGAUUCAUUUCCUUAGUAACGUAGCUAACGCGUGAAGUUUGACCGCCUGGGGAGUACGGUCGCAAGAUUAAAACUCAAAGGAAUUGACGGGGACCCGCACAAGCGGUGGAUGAUGUUGGAUUAAUUCGAUGCAUCGCGAAAAACCUUACCUAACCGUUGACAUGGUCGGAAUUCCUGCUUGAGAGGCGGGAGUGCUCGAAAGAGAACCGGCGCACAGGUGCUGCAUGGCUGUCGUCAGCUCGUGUCGUGAGAUGUUGGGUUAAGUCCCGCAACGAGCGCAACCCUUGUCCUUAGUUGCUACGCAAGAGCACUCUAAGGAGACUGCCGGUGACAAACCGGAGGAAGGUGGGGAUGACGUCAAGUCCUCAUGGCCCUUAUGGGUAGGGCUUCACACGUCAUACAAUGGUCGGAACAGAGGGUUGCCAACCCGCGAGGGGGAGCUAAUCCCAGAAAACCGAUCGUAGUCCGGAUUGCACUCUGCAACUCGAGUGCAUGAAGCUGGAAUCGCUAGUAAUCGCGGAUCAGCAUGCCGCGGUGAAUACGUUCCCGGGUCUUGUACACACCGCCCGUCACACCAUGGGAGUGGGUUUUACCAGAAGUGGCUAGUCUAACCGCAAGGAGGACGGUCACCACGGUAGGG